GACGAACGCUGGCGGCGUGCCUAAUACAUGCAAGUAGAACGCACAGUUUAUACCGUAGCUUGCUACACCAUAGACUGUGAGUUGCGAACGGGUGAGUAACGCGUAGGUAACCUGCCUGGUAGCGGGGGAUAACUAUUGGAAACGAUAGCUAAUACCGCAUAAUAUUGAUUAUUGCAUGAUAAUUAAUUGAAAGGUGCAAUUGCACCACUACCAGAUGGACCUGCGUUGUAUUAGCUAGUAGGUGAGGUAACGGCUCACCUAGGCGACGAUACAUAGCCGACCUGAGAGGGUGAUCGGCCACACUGGGACUGAGACACGGCCCAGACGCCUACGGGAGGCAGCAGUAGGGAAUCUUCGGAAAUGGACGAAAGUCUGAACGAGCAACGCCGCGUGAGUGAAGAAGGUUUUCGGAUCGUAAAGCUCUGUUGUAAGAGAAGAACGGGUGUGAGAGUGGAAAGUUCACACUGUGACGGUAUCUUACCAGAAAGGGACGGCUAACUACGUG
rnacentral:rRNA from 1 species